rnacentral:rRNA from 1 species
GACGAACGCUGGCGGCAUGCCUAACACAUGCAAGUCGAACGAGACCUUCGGGUCUAGUGGCGCACGGGUGCGUAACGCGUGGGAACCUGCCCUUAGGUUCGGAAUAACUCACCGAAAGGGGUGCUAAUACCGGAUAAUGUCUUAGGACCAAAGAUUUAUCGCCUUUGGAUGGGCGCGCGUUGGAUUAGCUAGUUGGUAGGGUAAAAGCCUACCAAGGCGACGGUCCAUAGCUGGUGUGGUAGGAUGAUCAGCCACACUUGGACUGAGACACGGCCCAGACUCCGACGGGAGGCAGCAGUAGGGUAUAUUGGACAAUGGGCCAAAGCCUGAUCCAGCAAUGCCGCGGGAGUGAGGAAGGCCUUAGGGUUGUAAAGCUCUUUUACCCGGGAUGAUAAUGACAGUACCGGGAGAAUAAGCUCCGGCUAACUCCGUG